rnacentral:rRNA from 1 species
GACAGAGGGGGCAAGCGUUGCUCGGAAUCACUGGGCGUAAAGGGCGCGUAGGCGGGAUGGCAAGUCAGUCGUGAAAUCUCUCGGCUCAACCGAGAAACGUCGGCUGAUACUGCCGUUCUUGAGGGAUGCAGAGGAGACUGGAAUUCCCGGUGUAGCGGUGAAAUGUGUAGAGAUCGGGAGGAACACCGGUGGCGAAGGCGGGUCUGCUGGGCAUUUGCCUUGACGGCUGAGGCGCGAAAGCGUGGGGAGCAAAACGGG